CUUCUUGGGUCAUUCUCAGAUUAAAGAUAUCAGAGUGGUGGUGCUGAAAACUGUUGCCCAAUUCUUCAUCAUCGGAGGCCCCUGGAUACUAGGAUUCUUCCAUCAUGGCAACAAGGUCCUGGGAUUGCUCUUCCAUGUUCUGAACUCUCAGCAGGGAACCUUCAUCUUUCUGAUACACUGUGUUCUUAAUGCAGAGGUGCGGCAACAGUUCACAACGAUCUGCAGAGGAUGACACAUUUUGUUUUCAAACGUCUAUAGUCACUGCCUUUAUUGUUACAGUUUAUUACACACACACACACA